GAUGAACGCUGGCGGCGUGCCUAAUACAUGCAAGUCGAGCGAACAGACGAGGAGCUUGCUCCUCUGACGUUAGCGGCGGACGGGUGAGUAACACGUGGAUAACCUACCUAUAAGGCUGGGAUAACUUCGGGAAACCGGAGCUAAUACCGGAUAAUAUAUUGAACCGCAUGGUUCAAUAGUGAAAGACGGUUUUGCUGUCACUUAUAGAUGGAUCCGCGCCGCAUUAGCUAGUUGGUAAGGUAACGGCUUACCAAGGCAACGAUGCGUAGCCGACCUGAGAGGGAGAUCGCCCACCAGGGAAGUGAGACGCGGCCCAGACCCACAGGGGGGGGAAGUGGAGAGAAUUUUCCGAAAGGGGAGAAAGCCUGACGGAGAAACGCCGCGAGAGUGAAAGGUGUUUGCGGAUCAAAAACCUCUUUUUUGAGGAGAGAAAAAAAGUGAAAGUAAAUAUCCAGGUCUUGACGGAACCAAACAAAAAAGCCCGGGCAAACUCCGU
rnacentral:rRNA from 1 species